GACGAACGCUGGCGGCGUGCUUAACACAUGCAAGUCGAACGGAAAGGCCCUGCUUUUGUGGGGUGCUCGAGUGGCGAACGGGUGAGUAACACGUGAGUAACCUGCCCUUGACUUUGGGAUAACUUCAGGAAACUGGGGCUAAUACCGGAUAGGAGCUCCUGCUGCAUGGUGGGGGUUGGAAAGUUUCGGCGGUUGGGGAUGGACUCGCGGCUUAUCAGCUUGUUGGUGGGGUAGUGGCUUACCAAGGCUUUGACGGGUAGCCGGCUUGAGAGGGUGACCGGCCACAUUGGGACUGAGAUACGGCCCAGACUCCUACGGGAGGCAGCAGUGGGGAAUAUUGCACAAUGGGCGGAAGCCUGAUGCAGCAACGCCGCGUGCGGGAUGACGGCCUUCGGGUUGUAACCCGCUUUCGCCUGUGACGAAGCGUGAGUGACGGUAAUGGGUAAAGAAGCACCGGCUAACUACGUG
rnacentral:rRNA from 1 species